CUUUUGUGUCCUAAAAAGCAGAGGAUAACGUUCUAGCCAAGAAAAUUUUAGGGGUGCCUGGUGGCUCAGUUGGUUAAGCCUCUGACUUGGGUUUAGGUCAUGAUCUUGUGAUUCAUAGGUUCAAGCCCUGUGGUGGGCUCUGUGGUAAUAGCUCAGAGCCUGGAGCCUGCUUCAUGCAUUCUGUGUCUCCCUCUCUCUCUGCCCCUCCCCUGCUCGUACUCUUUCUCUCUCUCUCAAAAAUAAGUAAAACAUUAAACAAAUUUUUAAAAAUACAAAAAAUAAAAUUUUUAAGAGCAGGCAUUAUCAGUCAAGCCUCUAAUAUUAAAAAUGUCUAACGUGUCUACAAUUGUCUGAAAAAUAUAUCCCCAAGACACCGAAUGGAGUUAAUUUAAUAAUACUAUGUCAAUAUAUAAAAUUGAGUGUUGAAAAAUAUCUUGCAAAAAUAAGGGCUUUGCCAUAAUUUCUAUCAAACUAUUUUUUUUUCUGAGAAUAAUUUUACAGUACAUUUAUCUCUUUUAUGCUUUUCCACUCGUUUGAGCAAUACAGAAUCAAAAUUUUAACAAUAUAUAGAUCACCAAAGGUACUAUCACACCAACCUGGGAGAAAAAAACAUGGGGCUGUAGUAAGAGUUGCACACAGUUCUUUUCUGUGCUUCCUGUAUUUAUCUAUUGUGUCUGCCCCAAAUAUGUCUUUCUGCAAGCCUGAGGUUGGUACAGCUCUGCUAGCUAAUGUCCUAUUACAUUCUGCCAAAAGGAGUCACUAGAGGGAGUUUAGAAACAAGGGAGGGGGAGGGGAAGGGCAGAAAGAACCUUCCUCUUCUUUCUUAUUUUAUCUUUCAGCACUGCCCAGCCAAAGUGACUGUUUAUUCUCACUUCGUUUGGCACCUCUAGGACAAGAUUCAUCAUUUGCCUUAGAGAAACCAGCACCAGCCAAGUGGAUGCCCCUGAUCAGAGGUACAGUGGAAAGAACAGAACAUUUCAUCUUUCAAGGGAGAACAUUUCAGGUACAGUCUGUGAAGAGAUGUUUAUUAAAAAAAAAAAAAAAAAAAAAAAAGGAUUUGGCCUUUGAACUCCCUGGCAAACAAGUGGAUUUUACUGACUCUGCGGUAUUAGGGGACGCACAGGCACACUGGGUGGUAUUUUUUAAAUUUCUUUUCAGAAGAGCCCCUUUUCUUUUGCUGACUCCAUAUUGUCAGUUCCGAGAAGAGAGUGCCAAGGUCCAAGUCGAAGGGGCAGUGUCUUUCCAGGAUCUAACAAGCUCAGGUACCAGAAGGACUGGGGCAUGAUCAUCCCUCCCUCCCAAGUGAAAAAAGACAAGAAAGGGGGAAAUUAGAAAAUCAGGGAAUAGGCUGUAUUCUUCAGGGUUCAGAGUUCAGGUCUAAAUUGAAAAUCACCUCCACCCCUUAAAGUUGUGUCGUCUUGGCCAAGGUGCUCUGCCUCUCCGACUCCUCAACUAUUAAACGAAGACACCAAUCCCUUCCUCACAGACACCAUUUGAAGGAGAAGCCUAUAGAAUGGGCUCAGCCGAAUCUGCAACGGAGCUCGGUAGACAGAUUCCCGGGCCCACUCAAUGCAACUUCGCCAAGCAGCAGCCUGGGAAAACCAGCGCCCUAGAUGAGUCUUCAGUUUGGGAAACGCUGAGGUGACACGGAAAGUACUUAGAGUAAGACUAACAAUCAGUGGUGGAGAGGUUCCGCCCAUUUGACAGGAACCCCUCUAUCAGCGCGCGGAGAAACCCACUGGCCAGCAGGGGCUCGGAAGGGUCACCCGCGUGUCUCCCCCCCAUCCCCCCCAGCCCCCGGGGAGGGUACUGCCCUCGCCGAUCUUCGCUCCCGGACGCGCCCUCGCAGCUUUCCCAGCCCCGCCGGCCCGGGAGCCUCGCGGCCAAGGUGCGCCAGGUGGCGAGGGUGCCAGGCGCGGCCUGGCCUCGGCGGACUGAGUCAGCCGCCCAGCUAUGCUGCGGAACCAGGGCUGCCGGCUCGACCGCCCCCGCCGCUGAGCGCCG
ensembl:lncRNA